rnacentral:rRNA from 1 species
AUGCAUGCAUUACAUAAAAUCCUUGGUGGUUGGGCUAGGCAUACGGUGGGUAUCCUCAAAAAGGAGAAGGUUUGUCUUUCAUCUAUCAUUGAUGAAUUAGAAGUGUUAGCAGAGCUUAGACCUCUAUCUGAGCAUGAAAUCGAGAUCAAGAGUCAUUCAAAUGCACAGAUAGGUAGCAUGCUGCAUGAAGAGGAACUCAAAUGGUACCAACAUUCUAACUCUCAGUUUAUCCUGAAAGAUAAAGGGAACUUCUCGAUGGAUGAGUCUCGUGCAGAUGACAUCCCCCAUGUCUCUGUGGAGGAAAACAGUCUCCUAACAGCCCCUUAA